CUGUACUGAGCAGUUUACCAGUAACAGCAGAGGUCUUUGGAACGACGAUUUUGGAAGUUUUAUUUUUAAGCCUUCUUUUUUUAUUAUAUAUAUAUACAUAAUUUUUUUUUCUGUCUUUGAAUAGGCAACGCAUUAAAGCUGUUUCCAGACUAUUAUGGAUCCCAACCGUCAAAACCAGAUUGCAAGCGCUCCUCCACAGGAAUGGAAUGAGAAUAAGUCCUUUCCUAGUGGUAACUCUGCUCCUCCACCUUACCAGGCUUUCCAGUACCCAGGAUCCUUUCAGCCUGGAAUGGGAUUCCCACAGCCACAGGGAUUUGGAAGCCCACCACCAUUUCCAGCUGCAGCAAAUGGACAGCAGCAGCCGUACCCUCCAGGCUUCCAGUACCCAGCCCACCCAGGCAUCUUCAGUGUCGCACCCCCGGUUGUAGUUACAGAGGCCCUUUAGAAAAUCCUGUUAACGACUUCAUGUGCUACUCCAUCUUCACCACCUUCUUCUGCUGCCUGCCGUUCGGAGUCGCCGCCCUCAUCCAUUCCAGCGCUGUGAGUUUUCUUUAGUCUCUUACUACAGUUUGGAGUCAAACUGAUUGACAUACAACAAAUUGAUUUAGAUCUUUACAAUACUUACAUUUGGUUGAUGUUGCUGGACUAAUUACCAAUUUUAAACUUUUUGGCUUAAAUCAACAUAUCAUUGUUAGGUCACCCAUGAAUGUAUCAUUAACUAAACUAAUUUGUGACUAGCUAAUGAUUGACCACCAACAACCAGGAUUUCCUUAUCUUUGUCCCACUAGUUAGGCAAACUUUUCAGUAAAUUAUGACAUCAGAAAUACAUUUUCCAGGGCUGUAAAUUAUUUUUUUUUCAAGAUGGUUAUGGCUAUGUCUCAGUUUUUUUCUGGAUUAUUCCCACAUAAACAAAUUUUAUUAAAUCAGAAUGGUGACUUUAAAUCAUUCACUGCUUAAAAUUGAACAUUUGUUGUUGUAGUCCUCCAUGUUUGACCUCACCGUGGGUUGACUUCAUCCUAUAAGAUUGGUCUCAAUUAUUCCAUGAAGAAAUGGGUAUGGAUAAUAGAUGGAUGGAUGCAUUAACUGUUAAUAAUUAACCAGCAGGUUAUUUGGAUUGGUCAUUUGUUCCUCACCGCCUCUCAUUGCAAAGUAAAAGACCUAAAAAGGGGUCCAAAUGAGGCAAAAAUCACACUAAUCCUAGGGGAAAUCUUAAUAGACAAGACUAAAAAUCCUUAAAUCCAGAGUAUUUGUUGAGCUAAUGUGACCUCGACUGAAUUGUUUUCUUUUGAAUGCUUUUCUGUUUCCAAUGUGUUUUCUAAAAAAAAAAAAAAAAGGGGUAAAUGUUCCUGACUAAAAUUGGCAUUCUUCCCCCACACAAAAACAAACAAAGGCAGUUUAAACAACCACGAAGAAUCUACAAAGGGGAUAAAGCACCGUGCCCUGAUGAGUCCGUCCUCAUGGAAGCGUGCAGUUAAGGGAGGGUGGAAGGCUGAAAUGGUUUAUUGUGAAAGGGAGUUGCUCCAUUUCUGUUAGCACUCUGCCCUUUAUUGUAUCCAUGGAAAAGUACCUGUUGUGUUUUCAAAAACUGGAUUAACAAUCAAAAAAGUCUAAUGUUUCAUUAUGAGAAAAGAUCUUUAGAAAUCAGCUUCUUCACUAACGGGAAAUUAAACAUCAUAAAGACAUCAGAUGCUGUAAAAAGACUUGUGACUGUCAGCUGCUUUAAAAAGACUUAGCGUAAUCAACCUUUAGCUCAAGGAACAUAUAAUUGCCACAUUCAUAAUUUGUCAUGUGAAGGGUGGACUUUGUGUGUUCUUUCCAACAUGUGUUUGGAGAGUUAGAGCUCCUGUAUUUAUGUCAUGACAAAAAAAAAAUGUAAUUCCUCUGAUCUUUCUGUAAAGAAAAUGUAUGUUUUAAUAAUUCCUGGUCAGUCCUCCUUGGAAAUUGUGCUUUUAUAUCCAUAGUGAUCAAUUUAAGUAAAUUAUGGGAGUGUUCUGAGGGAGUCAUGGGGCUAUUGGAGCCCAGUCAUACAUGCAAAAAAAUAAAAAAAAUAAACUAAAACAAAGCUAAAAAUACUAUAGAGCAAUAUAUAAGACUAGUGAUGGAUGGUUUACCUGACUGCAGCUUUGCUGACAUUAUGACAUUAGAGAUUAUAUUGAAUAUGUAUUUGAUAUUUUACAUUAGAUAGUAUCAUUAAUCUUUAAAGACCCACUAAAAUGAAAAUUGUGUUUUAUAAUGAAUUUUUUUUAGCAUUUUUCUCACAAUGAUUGACAUACUCAAUUAAUUUUGAUGAACUACUGCUGUUUUCUACAGAAACUAUGUCCCAGAUAACAACACAUGGUUGAUUUUGCCUUAAAAAUGACAUAUUCAUGAUUAAAAGACCACUUGGAAUGCUUUUACAAUAAAUCAAAAGAUGAUUGAACUAUUAUAUAGUAUUAUUUUUUAACAGGACCUAUUCCCAAAAAUUUAAGCAAUCGCUUAAAGUUUAAGCUUAAAGAGUUUAAAUUGAACAGCAAAGUUUCGUACAACUUCAUAUUUAAGUUUUUCUUUAGUCUCUCAUCACCUGUGAUUUUCUUUCCUCCACCUAUAGGCCAGCAGAGCCAAUCAGAGGGGCGACCGGGAUACAGCAGAGAGAAGCGCCAGAUUAGCUCGGAACCUAAAUCACGUCGCUGUGGGGUUUGGGAUUCUGACUUACAUCACAUGUAUUACUGUCAUUGUGUUGGUUUUUUUUAUCUAUUAGUCAGUUGGAGCAUCUAUGUUUGAUGCUUACGCCCAUGCGUUACGAAAGCGUUAUUGACUUUCUGAUUUAAAAAAACAGACAAACCCACAAGAUAUGUUUGAAAAAUCUUGAAAAUAUUGUUGCAAAGAAACUGUGAUCAUGUCUGAAGAUCAGUAAAUGUUUAAAUAUUGUAAAGCUGUUCUUACAUCUAUGUACAUACGUUACAUUUUAGUUAUCAAAUGAUUGUUUUUAUUUGCACUAAAGCAGUGUCUCGCAAUUUGGGGCACAUGUACUCCUUAGGGUUAUGCAUUACACAUUUUUAGGCUUUUCAAGUAGAUUUAAUAUAUUUUUUUAAAAUCAUGCAAAAAAUGUUUAAAACACUUUUACAACACACAUUUCACAGAAAAUUUAUUUUAAACAUGAAUUCUGCAAUUGUCUUUUCAAAAUAAAGGAAUUCUAUUUGCUUAUUGGUCUUUUUUUAUUUUAUUUUGGGUCAGAAUUUUUCAUCAACAGCAUAAAACUAUGGAUUGAUCCUGUCUUGCAUCAAUGGUUCAGGCUGAUAGUGGUGGUAUAAUGACCUGGGGAAUCUUUUCUUGACACACUUUGGACCCCUUAGUACCAGUUGAGCAUCAUUACAACUCUACAGCCUACCUGAGUAUUGUUGCUGGCCGUGUCCAUCCCUUCAUGAACAGAGUGCACCAUCUUCUGAUGGCUACUUCUAGCAAGAUAUCGUGCCAUGUCAGAAAGCUGGAAUCAUCUCAAACUGGUUUCUCUAACACGACAAUGAGUUCACUGGACUCAAAUUUUCUCCACAGUCACCAGAUCUCAACCCAAUACAAUGGGUUCAUAAUUAUUAUGCAAAUUAUAGUUUUCUAUGAUUUUUCUAAACACUCAGUGACAGCAAAAUUUCUGAGUCACUGACCAUUAAAGUAAAUGUUAUUGAACCAAACCUCCUAAAGAUAACAGUAUUUGUUUCAACCAUGAAAACCCUAAAAUACUCUGUUUCACAACAUUUGAUAGAUUUAAAAGAACUGAAAAUGAUCAAUUUUUGAAUUUGCUGCAUUAGGAGGUCAUAUUUACUGUAAUUUACUUUCAUUGUCAUACCUUCAGGGACCCAAAAGGGGCCGACCAACUCUUUCCCCUUGAUUCCGUUCCAUACCAUGACUCUGCCACCUCCUUUCUGACAUUGCAGCCUUGUUAGGACAUGGUGGCCAUCCACCAACCAUCGCACUACUCCAUCCAUCUGGACCAGCCAGGGUUGUAUGGUACUCAUCAGUGAACAAGACUCCUCGUCUUCGUGUCUGUCUGGGAUCACUGCAGUCAUUUCUGCUUGUUAGUAUUGUUUAGGGGUGGCCCAAUAGAAUAUUUACGUAUGAAUGCAAGCCUCUGGAGGAUACUACACCUUGAUGUUUGUGGAACUCAGCAGCUUCAAAUGUGUGCUUGCUGCUUUGUAAUGGUAUUUAGCAGCUGCUCUCUUAACCUGUGUAUUCAUCUGGCAGAAAUCUUCCUCAUCCUGUUUUUAUCAUCACAAACCCAUGUGCAUUCUGAAUCAGCCACACAUCGCUUAAUAGUACGAUGAUCUUACGGCUCUGGGAAUCAGGAUUCUUGUUCUCAUCCCAGCAAGUAGCUCCUUAGUAUACAAUUUCAUCACAGGUCAUAAUGAAUAAUUGUCAUUAAGUGUACUCUGCCCACACCAUAAAGGGACUACACAUCUACUUUUGACAGUUGAAUUUUUUAAUUUCUUUUUUAAUAUCUCUCUGAAAUUCUGUUGUUCAUUCUAACUGAUGUUGAAACAACUUUUAAGACAUGAGAACAAAGGAGCCGUUGUGGCAGAAACAGUGUCUUGCCUAAUAUUAUCUGUAAAGAUGUACAUUAUUGAACUGUUGCUGUGAGUGUCUUGUUAUGCAUUUUCAUUUUUGUUUCUUUGAAU
ensembl:lncRNA